UUAUUUUUUAUACUAUGGCAAUAAAAGAUUCCCAAACUAACAUACUAUUUUUUUUUUUUGAGACAGAGUUUCGCUCUUGUUACCAAGGCUGGAGUGCAAUGGCGCGAUCUCGGCUCACUGCAACCUCUGCCUCCUGGGUUCAGGCAAUUCUCCUGCCUCAGCCUCCUGAGUAGCUGGGAUUACAGGCACGUGCCACAAUGCCCAGCUAAUUUUUUGUAUUUUUAGUAGAGACGGGGUUUCACCAUGUUGACCAGGAUGGUCUCGAUCUCUUGACCUUUUGAACCACCAUGCCUGGCCUACACUACGUUUUCUUACGGAAUUGAGUCUAUUUCUGGAUUUUCUGUUUCCUUGGUCAUGCACCAGUGCCAUCCUAUUUUAAAAUAGAGGCUUUCAAAUUUUUAUGUCUGAUUGGGCAAGUCCCCCUUCCUGUAUAUUUUUAAGUAAGUCUCAUUGCUUCGUAGCCACAAUUCAUUUUUAAAAUCUUUUUUUAUUUUAUUUAUUUUUGAGCCAAGAUCUUGCUCAGUUGCCCAGGCUAAUUCUCCUACCUUAGCCUCCAGAGUAGCUGGGACUACAGGCAUGUGCCAUCACACCCAGCUAAUUUUUUCUUUCUCUCUCUCUUUCUUCCUUCCUUCUUUCUCUUUCGUUUCCUUUUUCUUUUCUUUUCAGCAGAGAUGAGGUCUUACCAUGUUACUCAGGCUGGUCUUGAAUUCCUGAACUCAAGUGAUCCUCCUCUCUCGGCUUCCCAUCGUGCUGGGAUGACAGAGAUGGGGUUUUGCCAUGUUGCCCAAGCUGGUCUCAAAUUCCUGGGUUGAAGCAAUCUGCCUGCCUCAGCCUCCCAGAGAGCUGGGAUUACAGGUGUGAGCUGCAGAGCCUGACUUCUUGGGAGAAAUUGAAAAUAAUCUUGCUCUGUCAUCCAGGCUGGAGUGCAAUGGCGCAAUCUUGGCUCACUGCAACCUCUACUUCCUAGAUUCAAGCAAUUAUCCUACCUCAGCUUCCUGAGUAGCUGGGAUUACAGAUGUGUGCUACCAUGUCAGGUGAGUUUUUGUGUUUUUAGUAGAGACAUGGUUUCACCAUGUUGACCUGCUUGGUCUCGAACUCCUGACCUCAUGAUCUGGCCCACCUUGGCCUCCCAAACUGUUGCAAUUAUAGGCAUGAGCCACUGUGCCUGAGCCUACUUGGUUUUACAGAAGCAGAACUCGCAACGUGCCCACCCAGAGUCAUGUGGCACUAAUGCCAUUGAGUUCUCACCAUGCUUCAGACACUGGGCUAAGUUUUUGGGGGGGACAGUCUUGCUCUGUCAUCCAGGUCGGAGUGCAGUGGUGCCAUCUCAGCUCACUGCAACUUUGGCCUACUGGGUUCAGGUGAUUCUCCUGCCUCAGAUUACAGGUGCCGCCCCAUGCCUGGCUAAUUUUUGUAUUUUUAGUAUAGAUGGGGUUUUGCCAAUGUUGGCCAGGCUGAUCUCGCACUCCUAACCUCAAGUGAUCCACCCGCCUUGGCCUCCCAAAGUGCUGGGAUUACAGGUGUGAGCCAGCCCAAAAGAUAGCUCUUAGAAAUUAAAAAUAUUAGAUUAGAUGAAAAACUCCAUAAAGAGUUACAGGCGUGGUGGCUCAUGCCUAUAAUCCCAGAAUUUAGGGAGGCUGAGGUGGGCGGAUCAUGAGGUGAGGAGUUCAAGACUAGCCUGACAAACAUGGUGAAACCUCGUCUUUACAAAAAAUACAAAAAUUAGCUGGGCAUGGUGGCACGUGCAUGUAAUCCCAGCUACUCAGGCGGCUGAGGCAGGAGAAUCCCUUGAACCUGCGAGGCGGAGGUUGCAGUGAGCCAAGAUCUCAUCAUUGCACUCCAGCUUGGGUGACAGAGCAAGACUCUGUUUAAAAUAAAAUAAAAUAGUGAAUUUUAUGUUAUGUGAAGUAUAUCUCAAAUUUUUAAUGCUGUAAAUAAUAAAAAAGAUCAACAAAGAGAAAGAGAGCAUAAAUAAUCUACUUUGACUAUUAAACCAGUAUGUUGACAUGUAUGAACCAGUAUGCUGACACUUAAUCUCUUUAACUACAAAAUGGUGCGAGAUAAAAUUGCCCCAAUAAAGCAAUAAUGAAUUUGUGAUGAUGGUGGUAUUUUUUUCCUUUCCAAUUUAUUGAAGCAGUAAAAAUGAGUCUGGUGUUAUAAACAAGUAAUGAAAUGACCUUACAUAAAAAUUAUGAUAUUGCCAGGCGCAGUGGCUCACACUUGUAAUCCCUGCUCUUUGGGAGGCUGAGGCAGCCAGGUUAUUUGAGCUCAGGAGUUCAAGACCAGCCUGGCCAAUAUGGUGCAACCCUAUUUCUAUCAAAAAUACAAAAAAUUAGCUGGGCAUGGUGUCCUUUGGUCCCAGCUACUCCGGAGGCUGAGGUGGGUGGAUUGCUUGAGCCUGGGAGGUUGAGGCUGCAGUGAGCAGAGAUUAUACCACUGCACUCCAGCCUGGGCAACAGAAAGAGACAUUGUCUAAAAAAACAUAUUAUGAGGCACAGUGAUAUUAUAUUAAAUGAUUAUACAAACUGAUAAUCUAGAUAAUGUAUAUUACUUGAUUAUACAAACUGAUGAUAUAGAUAUAAAAAGCAUAAGAAGUAUAAAAAAAUAAAGUAUAAGAAGGCUUAAGCUGCAAUAUCUAAUAAUAUCAUUUAUAAUUACUUAAAUAUGGUGGUGGUGUGGUCAUGUCUAGGAAUGUAACACGUUAAAAAAAUCUAUGGCCAGGCACGGUGGCUCAUGUCUAUAAUCCCAGUACUUUGCGAGGCCAAGGCAGGCAGUUCACCUGAAGUCAGGAGUUCAAGACCAGCCUGGCCAACAUGGUGAAACCCUGUUCCUACUAAAAAUACAAAAAUUAGCCAGGUCUGGUGGUGAACGCCUAACAGAAUCCCAGCUACUUGGGAGGCUGAAGCAGGAGAGUCACUGGAACCCAGGAGGCAGAGGUUGCAGUGAGCAGAGAUCAUGCUACUGCACGUUAGCCUGGGUGACAGAGCAAAACUCCGUCUCAAAAACAAACAAACAAAAACCAAGAAUAACCAAAUCUCUUAAUUUAUUAUUCCCAUCACUUGGGAACAUUGGUCCAAUUAUCAUGGAGUGAUGAUGAUAUCAAGAAAACAAACUUAAAUUAUUCACACAACUCAACAGCAGAAAAACAAAUCAUCAAUUUAAAAAUGGGCAAUGGACUUGAAUAGAUAUUUCUUUAAAGAAGACAUAAAAAUAGCCAACAGGCAUAUAAAAAGGUGCUCAAUGUUACUAGUCAACAGGGAAAUGCAAAUGAAACUAUAAUGAAUUAUCACUUCACAUCUGUUAGAAUGGUGAUUAUCAGAAAGACAACAGAUUAAGUGUUGGUGAGGGUGUGGAGUAAGGGAACCCUUGCAUACUGUUGGUGGGAAUGUAAAUUGGCAUAGGCAUUGUAGAAAACAGUAUGGAAGUUUUUAAAGAAAUUAAAAAUAGAAUUACCAGAUGGCUCAGUAAGCCCUUUGCUGGGUAUAUAUAGCCAAAGGAAAUGAAAUCACCCCUUUGUAAAGAUACCUGCAUUCCCAUGUUCAUUGCUAUGUUCAUUGUCAUGUUCAUUGCAGUAGUAUCAACAAUAGCCAGGUCGGGCAGUGGCUCACACCUAUAAUCCCAGCACUUUGGGAGGCCCAGGUGGGUGGAUCAUCUGAGGUCAGGAGUUUGAGACCAGCCUGGCCAAUACAGUGAAACCCCAUCUCUACUAAAAAAAAAUUAGCUGGGCAUGGUGGUGGGCACCUGUAAACCUGCUACUUGGGGGGCUGAGGCAGAAGAAUAGCUUGAAUGAGGGAGGUGGAGGUUGCAGGUUGCAGUGAGCCGAGAUCACACCAUUGCACUACAGCCUGAGCAGCAAGAGUAGAAAACUCCGUCUCAAAAAACAAAACAACAACAACAACACCAAAAAAAAACCAAUAGCGUGCGUGCACACACACACAGUGGAAUAUUAUUCAGCUAUAGAAAAGGAGAUCCUGCCAUUUGCCACAACACAGAUGAAACUAGAAGGUAUUAUAUUAAGUGAAAUAAGCCAGACACAUAAAAGUACUACAUGAUCUCUCUACUUAUAUGUGGGAUCCAAAAAAAGGAAAGAAAAAAGGUAAUUCCGGAGCAGAGGUACCCUUGAAGAAUGCAGAGAAAAGUCACAGUAUCUUUAGACACCUUGGUAGGACUGACUUUGGUCUGUUAGUUGCCAAAAUGGUACAGUUUAGGGGAGUGUAGAAAAGACCUCUCUGCUUAAUUUAUUCUCAAGUUCUCCACUUUGCCAAGACUCAUAGUUAAUUGUUUGCAAAACCCCCGGGGGUCUUUUAGCUCCUCUUUGUUUUUUUUUUCUGCAUAUUACCAACUUGCUUUUAUUGAUGAAUAUCACAAACUUCAAUCAUUUAAAAAAUAUUAUUCUGCAUGCAUUUAACAAAUCUGACAAAAGAACAAGUAUCCAGUUUAUUUGCAUUGUAACUAUGACAUUAUAACUGAACUCUUUAAAACUCCUUAGCUCCUCUUUAAAUAGUUCCUUCACCUUGCUGUAGCUCAGAGAUUCUUACCUGGAGGCAAUUUUGCCCACCUCCCCAGAGGGCUUUUGGCAAUGUUUGGAGGUAUUUUUAGUUGUCACAAUUAGAGAUGGUGCUACUGACAUCUAGUGGGAAGAGGCCAGGGAUGCUGCUGAACACCCUGCAAUGACAAUGUGCAGGAUGGCCCCUCACAGCAAAGGAUGAUCAGACUCAGAUGUCAAUGGCCAAAUUGAGAAACCCUGAGUCUUGUCUAUGGGCACUGCUUCCUCUUUAGCCCUUUUAGAUCAUCUGUGUUUUCUCAUGCCGUGGGGUUUGGAGGUAGAGUGAGGGUCUUCUUCCCUUGUUAUUGCUUCUUGCAAACAAUUCUCCCUCCCUAAAUCCUUAAAAAAGCUCAACUUAACUUUGAAUUUUACAUCAUUAGACAUGAUCACUUACUACUUCUCCUUACUGCAGUCAUCUACAGAUUUUCACUGCUUUCAUUGUCAUUCUUUCCAACACAACUAUUUUAAAUCUUGGUGAUUUCAUAAUCCACACAGAUGAAGCUUCCAACAUCCUGGACUCUCAGUUCCUUGUAUUCCACUCCUGCAGGGAGUAUGGCUGUCCAUUGCAGUCACUUCCUCACCUACACGGCCAUAAUUGCCAUCAUCUGAAUUCCACUUUCUGACCACUACCUCCUAUCAUUUUAGCCCAUUCCUGUAGUAGGUUGAUUUCAACAAACCUUUGAUCUCAUUAGGACAACCAAUCCAUCAAUCAAUUGCAUAGUAUUUAUACUAUAAAAAUCAGCAAAUCCACAAAUUAGUGUUCUUUUCCUUUCUUUCAGAAAGCUAGUUUUUAAACAUUUACCUCUUAUGUAUUCAUGAGAUACACCUUAAGCAAUCUAUGUAUAUGUGUGUGUGUGUAUAUAUAUAUAUUUGUAGAUAUAUAUGUAUACAUAUAUACAAUGUCGCUUUGCACAUUUAAAAAUUUUACAUACCUGGCUUACUAUAGUGUGUUUUCUGAUAUAACUUCCCCCCCACAACAUUUAGAUUAUGAGAUGCAUUCAGGUUGAUAUAUGUAACUCUGGAUUACUCUUAUUAUUAUUGUUAUUAUUUUUUGAGACAGAGUCUCACUCUGUCACCCAGGCUGUAGUUCAGUGUUGUGAUCUUGGUUCACUGCAGCCUCUGCCUCCGAGAUACAAGUGAUCUUCCCACUUUAACCUCCUGGGUAGCUGGGACUACAGGCCUGUGCCACCACAUCUGAUUAAUUUUCAUAUUUUUAGUAGAGGCUGGGUUUCGCCAUAUUGACCAGGCUGGUCUAGAACUCCUGACCUCAGGUGAUCUGCUUGUUUUGGCCUUUCAAAAUGCUAGGACUAUAGGCAUAAGCCAAGGCACCGAUUGGUUCAUUCAUUUUUACUCUCCUGCCCUACACAGUAAGAAUGUAACCUCCAUGAAGGCAUAGAUUUUUGUUGAUUAUAUUCUCUGCUGUAUUCCUAGGAUUUGGAACAGUGUCUGGCACAAAGCAGGCUCAUAUUUAUUUGAAGAAACAGGCCAGGCCUGGUAGCUCACGCCUGUAAUCCCAGUACUUUGGGAGGCCAAGGUGGGUGGAUCACUUGAGGUCAGGAGUUUGAGGCCAGCCUGGCCAGCAUGGGGAACCUGUCUCUACUAAAAAUACAAAAAUCAGCCAGGCAUAGUGGCAGAUGCCUGUAAUCCCAGCUACUCUGGGGCUAAGGCAAGAGACAAGAGAAUCACUUGAAUCCUGGAGGUAGAGGUUGCAGUGAGCCGAGAUCGUGCCAUUGCACUCAAGCCUGGGAGACGGAGCAAGACUCCAUCUCAAAACAAAAACAUGAAAACAAAAAUUAGCCGGGCGUGGUGGCUCACGCCUGUAAUCCCAGGUGCUCAGCAGGCUGAGGCAGGAGAAUCACCUGAAUCUUGGAGGAGUAUGUUGCAGUGAGCAGAGAUUGUACCACUGCACUCCAGCCUAGGCCACAGAGUGACACUUCGUCUUAAAAUAAAAUAAAAUAAGAUAAAAUGAAAUGAAUGGUGUGCCUGAAAUUCUAUCUUUGUCACUUCUCGAAGAUAUUCCUUGGUUAUUUGUCUUUUGGUUUCUGUUUUUUUUUUUUUAAAUAAAGAUGGGGUUUCACCAUGAUGGCCAGGCUGGUCUUGAACUCCUGACCUCAAGUGAUACACCCACCUCGGCCUCCCAAGGUGCUAGGAUUGCAGGCGUGAGCCACCGCGCCCGCCUUUUUUUUUUUUUUUUUUUUGCUGCCCCUUGUGGAGCAGGGCUACCCCAUACACAGUGUGUCCAGAGUAGCCUAUGUUGCUGUUUGGUAGCUUAGCAGAUCUUACUAUCCUGAACCACUUGGGUUUUCAAACCUUAUCAAUAAAUUUAUUUUGCAUAUCCUUUGUGACCAGAAGAGGGCAAGCUUGGAAGGAAAAAGAAAUAGGUGAGAAAUGGAACUAAGUCCUAAAUGUAGGACGCUGCCUGUUUUGGAUAUCUGAAGCCACCAGGUGGCAGUAUGAGCAUGCUGGAAAUUUAAGGUCCGGGAUUCAGGCUACAGGGGUCUCCUGAUGCAGAACAGUGCCCCAAACUUACACAAUUUCCACUUUAUUUCUCCUUUUAGUCGACUUGUAAUUUAUUAACAUAAUUAUUCUGUAGGUUUAUAUAAGUUGAUACUUUCUGUUUUCCCUUACAUUUGAUAAUACUAAAUUUAAAAUAUUGGAGCAUAAUAAAUAAAAAUCACAUAGCAGGGUGCGGUGGCUCACACCUGUAAUCCCAGCACCUUGGGAGGCCGAGAGAGGAGGAUCUCUUGAGCCCAGGAGUUCAAGAUCAGCUUGGGCAACAUGGAGAGACCUUGUCUCUCCAAAAAAAAAAAGCUAGGCGUGGUGGUGAGCACCUAUGGUCUCAGCUACUUGGGAGGCUGAGGUGGAAAGAUCACUUAAGCCCGGUAGGUUAAGGCUGCAGUGAGCUGUGUUUGCACCACAGCAUUCUAGCCUGGGCGAGAGUGAGACCGUGUCUCAGAAAAAACCAAAAACUGAAAACAAAACAAAAUCAAACAAAAAAAAAGACAAAAAUCAAAACAAAACAAAAAACUCACAUAACAUACAAAUUACUAUUAAGCCUUUCUUUUCUUUCUUUUGUUCUUUCUCUUUCUUCCUUCCUUGCUUCCCUCCCUCUCUUUCCUCUCUCUCUCUCUCUCCCUCUCUGUGUCUCUCUCUUUCUUUCUUAACAUGGUCUGACUCUGUCACUUAGGCUGGAGUACAGUGGUGCAAUCUCAGCUCACUGUAACCUCUGCUUCCUAGGUUCAAGCGAUCCUCCCUCCUGAGUGUCAGGGACUACAGGUGUGUGCUACCAUGCCUGGUUACUUUUUGUAUUUUCUGUAGUGACGGGGUCUUGCCAUGUUGCCCAGGAGGGUCUCCAACUCCUGAGCUCAAGCAAUCUGCCUGCCUCGGCCUUCCAAAGUACUGGGAUUACAGGCUUGAGACACUGUGCCGGGCCUUAAACUGUUUUAAAAUGUCAAAUUCGGUGGGUUUUAGUAUAAUACAUUCACAAUGUUGUGCAAUCAUUACUAUGACCUAAUUCCGGAAUAUUUACAUUAAACAAAAGGAAAUCAUAUCUAUUCAGUCACUUGCCAGUCUCCCCCCCCCAUCUUCUCACAAGUACUAAUCUACUUUAUGUCUUUUUGAUUGCCUGUUCUGGAGAUUUCUUGUAAAUGGAAUCAUACGAAAUAGCAGCACAUUUUUUUUUUGAAACAGAGUAUUGCUCUGUUGCCCAGGCUGGAGUGCAGUGGCUCGAUCUCAGCUCACUGCAACUUCUGCCUCCUGGGUUCAAGGGAUUCUCCUGCCUCAGCCUCCAGAGUAGCUGAGAUUAUAGGUGCCCGCCACCAUACUUGGAUAAUUUUUGUAUUUUUAGUAGAGUCUGGGAUUCACCAUGUUGGCCAGGCUGGUCUUGAACUCCUGACCUCAGGUGAUCCACCCGCCUCGGCCUCCCAACGUGCUGAGAUUACAGGUGUAAGCCACCGCUCCCAGCCAGCAAAACAUAUUUUUAAUUGAAAUAUUUAUCUAUGGCAUCAUACAGAUGGACAUUGGAGACAGAAUUGGGGAGGGUUGAAGGGGAGAUGAGGGAUGAAAAACUACCUGUUGGAUACAAUGGACAGUAUGCGGUGACCAGUGCACUAAAAAUCAAGAUUUCACCAUUUCACAGUUCAUCCAUGUAACCAAAAACCAUUUGUAUGCCUAAUGCUAUUGAAAUUAAAAAAUAUUUUAAAGGAUUUAUCUAUGGCAUCAAAAUAAGACUAUGUUUCUAGGAAUUUCAUCUAAAAUAUCAAAGUUACGUACAAGAUGGAAAAACAUAUGAUUUUGGAACAAUUGGUAACUCUAACUUACUUUAAUAUUACAUAAUAAAAUUUUAAGGGCUACUUAAAUUGUGUUUGCCUGCGCCCUUGGGCAGGGACAUGCUUUGAUUCUCUUAAUUGCAAUGAGAUAAAGGCUGAUGAAUGGAAGUGAUGGAGAAUGAUUAGCAGGAUUCAUGUUCCCUUAAUUCAUGUUCCCUUAAUUCCCUAGCAAAUAAAAUGCAAAGCAAUAUCCAGUCAUUAUUUAUCACGUUUUCAGGCUCCUACAUAGUCUUCAUGGUUCUGAGCCCAGAGCUGGCAGCAAGUGGUCCCUGAUGGGUUUUGCCCAUGGCAUAGGCACACCACCUCUGGACAUAGCUGGGCUAAUGUUCAGCAAAAGUUUACAGAAACAGGGAGAGUGGUUUGGCUUCCUUUCAUAACUUUCCCAGGGUUAGAACUUGUGAGUUCAUGGCAACGUUUAGUCACGACUUAAUUUUGUAAAUAGAGACAGGGUCCCCAUCUUUCUCCUGGACUGGAGUACAGUGGUGUGAUCCUAACUCACUGCAGCCUUGAACACCUGGGCUCAAAGAAUCCUCCUGUUCAGUCUUCCAAGUAGCUGGGACUUUACAGGUGCAGGCCACCACACUCAGCUAAUAUUUUUUGAAUUUUUAAAAAUAGAGACAAGGUUUUGCCAUGUUGCCCAGGCUAGCCUCGAACUCCUAGGCUCCAGGGAUUUGCCCAUCUUGGCCUCCCAAAGUGCUGGGAUUAUAGGCAUGAGCCACCAUGCCCGGCCUCCUUCUUCUUACUUUAUUUUAUUUUCCAGCCUCCUUUUUCUUUUUCAUUUUUCUUUUCUUUUGUUUUUUUGAGACAUAGUCUUGCUCUGUCGUUCAGGCUGGAGUGCAGUGGCACAAUCUCGUCUCAGUGCAACCUCCAUCUCCUGGGUUCAAGUGGUUCUCCUGCCUCAGUUUCCUGAGUAGCUGGAACAUGCCUGGCUAAUUUUUUGUAUUUUUAGCACAGACGGGGUUUCACCAUGUUAGUGAGGACGGUCUUGAUCUCCUGACCUCGCAAUCUGCCCACCUCAGCUUCCCAAAGUACUGGGAUUACAGGCGUGAGCCACCACACUCAGCCCCAAAUUUCUGUUUUUUAAUAGAGAUGGUGUCUUACUUUGUUGCCUAGGCUAGUUUCAAACUUCUCGGCUUAAGCAAUCCUCCCACCACACCCUCCCACUCUUGGCUAAUUUUAAAGUCUUUUUUGUUGUUGUUGUUGAGAUGGAGUUUCACUCUUAUCCCCCAGGCUAGAGUGCAAUGGUGCCAUCUUGGCUCACUGGAACCUCUGCCUCUCAGGUUCAAGCAAUUCUUCUGCCUCAGCCUCCUGAGUAGUUGGGAUUACAAGCACCCACCACCAUGCCUGGCUAAUUUUGUAUUUUUAGUAGAGAUGGGGUUUCACCAUUUUUUGUAAGGCUGGUCUUGAACUCCUGACCUCAGGUGAUCCACCACCUUGGCCUCCUAAAGUGCUGGGAUUACAGGCGUGAGCCACUGUGCCUGGCUGAUUUUUAACUCUUUUGUAGAGACUAGGUCUCAUUAUAUUGUCAGGGCUGGUCUCGUACUUCUGGGCUCAAGUGAUCCACUUGCUUGGUAUCCCAAAGUUCUGGGAUUACAGGCAUGAGCCACCAUGCCCGGCCUCCAGCAGUUUUUCUGAGGGACUCCCACAGCACUGAAUUGACAUUUCACUAGUGACAAACACAGAAAGAUGCAUCUACUUUAAAACUGAAAUUCACUGAAGUAAAAGUGACAGGAACAUAGGGAGAAAAAUGACUCUAUAGCCUUCAUAAUUUUUUUAAUAAUAGAAAUAGGCAGCUAUGUCUUGAAGAUUACAACAUUCAGAUUUUUAAAAAUUCAGAGAGCUGGAUGUGGGUGGCUUGUGUCUAUAAUCCCAGCUGCUUGGGAGGCUGAAGUGAGAGGGUCGCUUUAGGCCAGAUGUCCCAGACCAGACUGGACAACAUAGCAAGACCCCCCAUCUCUUAAAAAAAGUUUUAAACAAUUAUCUGGGCUUGGUGGCACACACCUGUAGUCCCCACUCAGGAGACUGAGGUGGGAGGAUCACUUGAGUCAGGAGUUCAAGGCUUCAGUGAGCUAUAAAAAUGCCACUGCACUGCAGCCUGGGUGACAGAGUGAGACCCUGUCUCAAAAAAAAAAAAAAUUCAAGAAAAGGAAAGCCAUAAUUCAUUGGAAUGAUGGCUGGGCACAGUGGCUCACACCUGUAAUCCUGGCACUUUGGGGGGCCAAGGACGGUGAAUUACCUGAGGUCAGGAGUUUGAGACCAGCCUGGACAACAUGGCAAAACACUGUCUCUAGUAAAAAUAGAAUAAUUAGCUGGGUUUGGUGGCACACACCUGUAGUCCCAGCUACUCUGGAGACUGAGGCAGGAUAAUUGCUUGAAACUGGGAGGCAGUGGUUGCAGUGAGCCAAGAUCGCACCACUGCAUUCCAGCCUAGGCACCAGAGUGAGACUGUCUCAAGAAAAAAAAAAAUUCACUGGAGUGAGAUUUUCUUUUUUUUUUUGAGACGGAGUUUCGCUGUUGUUACCCAGGCUGGAGUGUAAUGGCACGAUCUCGGCUCACUGCAACCUCCGCCUCCUGGGUUCCAGCAAUUCUCCUGCGUCAGCCUCCUGAGUAGCUUGGACUACAGGCACGCACUACCAUGCCCAGCUAAUUUUUGUAUUUUUAGUAGAGACAGGGUUUCACCUUGUUGACCAGGAUGGUCUCGAUCUCUUGACCUCGUGAUCCACCCACCUCGGCCUCCCAAACGCACCACCAUACCCAGCUAAUUUUUGUAUUUUUAGUAGAGACGGGGUUUCACCUUGUUGACCAGGAUGGUCUCAAUCUCUUGACCUCGUUGAUCCACCCACCUCGGCCUCCCAAAGGGCUGGGAUUAUAGGUGGAGCCACCGCACCCGGCCCUGGAGUGAGAUUUUCAUUCAUUUAUCGUCAUUCAUUAAAUAUCUAGUAAGUGCCUGUUAUUUGCUCUGCACUGUGCUAGAUGUGCCAUGGUCAAGAGGAUUGGGUUGCCCUGAAAUAGUCAACUCUGAUUACAUAAUUUAAAAUGACCUCAGUGAGGAAGAGAAAAAGAUGUCUGAAAAAGCCAUUGUGAUAGUAUGGGGCAUGUUCUAAUUAGUUCCUAUAUUAAUAAAAAAUACAUGUAUGAUAGAAAUAAGGAAAUGUGACCAAAGAUGAAUAGAGAAAAUUCUACAAAUCUGUAAAAAUGGCAUGAGGAACACUAAAGCUCUAAUGAGGGGAGAAUUGCAAUGCCACUAAGGACAAGUAAACCAGUUUUAUAGUCUAGACACAGUGACUCACACCUGUAAUCCCAGCACUUUGGGAGGCCGAGGUAGGUAAAUCACCUUAGGUCAUGAGUUUAAGACCAGUCUGGCCAACAUGGUGAAACCCUGUCUCUACCAAAAAUACAAAAAUCAGCUGGUCAUGGUGGUGCAUGCCUGUAGUGCAGCUACUUGGGAUGCUGAGGUAGGAGAAUCGCUUGAACCCAGGAGGUGGCAGUUGUAGUAAGCCAAGAUUUUGACACUGCACUCCAGCCUGGGCAAUAGAGUGAGACUCUGUCUCAAAAACAAAAAAAGGAUUACAUUUAUCUCAAGAAGAUAAAAGAAGACCUAGGUCUGAUGCUUGGGCUGUGUAGUGUGAAUGACAGAGGAAGAAGCAGAACCCUUUAUGUCUGUCUUCUGUGUCACAGAAAAUGGUCUGGAUACUGAAAAAGGUAAAACAAAAGUGGGUCCGAAGGAACUGGAGCCCAAGAUGAGUGAGAAGUGUGAGAAUAUAUAAAUUGCACAGUGAUCUAAGUAAUUUUCAAUUAUCUGGUUUACGUGAAUUGCAUCCAGUUUACUCAGAGAGCCCUGAAUGAGUAGACGAACAGAUGUUCUGUUAUUUGAAAAUCAAGGAGAAUGAAAUCAAGAUCAGCUAUAGGCAAACACAGUGACAAUUUCUUUUUUCUUUUCUUUUCUUUCUUUUUUUUAUUUUUUAUUUUUGAGAUGGAAUCUCACUCUGUUGUCCAGGCUGGAGUGCAGUGGCGUGAUCUUGGCUCACUGUAACCUCCACCUCCUGGGUUCAAGUGAUUCUCAGCCUCCCCAGUAGCUGGGAUUACAGGCACCUGCUACAGUGCCCAGCUAAUUUUUUGUAAUCAGGCUGGUCUUGAACUCCUGACAUCGUGAUCCACAUGCGUUGGCUUCCCAAAGUGCUGGGAUUACAGGCGUGAGCCAUUGCACCUGGCUACAGUGGCAAUUUCUAAUAGGAGAAGGUGGAGCUCUCAGAUUAUAUGCUGGUGAAACUGGUUUUGAUUCUCGGCAAGAUUCAAAAAAGAAUUCUUCAAAGUAUCAUUUAUGUGGUUGCAUAAAGGAAACACAUUCUUAGAAGCGAGAGUUUGCUAGAGAUGUGUAUUUUCAGAUUAACCUUACUUUAUUUUUUCUUUCUUUUUUUUUUUGAGACAAGAUGUGGCUCUGUUGCCCAGGCUGAAGUGCAGUGAUACGAUUACAGCUCACCACAACCUCCACCUCCUGGGCUCAAGCCAUCCUCCCACCUCAGCCUCUUGAAUAGCUGGGACUACAGCCCAGGCUGGAAUACAGUGGCGAAAUCUCUGCUCACUGCAACUCUGCCUCUGGGGUUCAAGUGAUUCUCCUGCCAAUAGUUGGGAUUACAGGCACCGCAACCAUGGCCAACUAAUUUUUGUAUUUUAGUAGAGACCAGGUUUCACCAUGUUGACAAGGCUGGUCUCGAACUCCUGGCCUCAGAUGAUCCACCCACCUCAGCCUCCCAAAGUGCUUGAAUUACAGGCAUGAGCCAUUGUGCCCGGCCAUUCACAAUGUUUUAUUGAGUGAUACUACCUGUGUUUGGAAACAGUGAAUAGUGAGAUGUUUAGAUCAAAUAUAGGCCAUUGGUUUAACAUACAUACUUUAGCAUAAAGGACCAUUUCAUAAAUUACUUGCUUUGGUAUCUUUCUUUUAUGCUUUAAUGUGCUUACAAUGAUAACAGUGGAUGUAGAACCUGUGGAUAUGGAGAGCUAACUGCAAGACUUGAGUAUCUGCAGAUUCUGUUAUCCUAUAGAAUCCUGGAAUCAAUUCCCCAUGGAUACCAAGGGACAGCAGUACUGUGAAAACUACUUUAUACACAUAAACUCACAUUCUCAUUUUAAUCCUCACAAUAUCCUUUGAUGUACUCUUAUUACUGACACUUUGCAGAUGGGAAGCAGAGGCUUGGAGAGGUUAUGGAGCUUGCCCAAGGUUGCACAGUUGUAGGGCUUGGAAUCGAAUGAAGACAAUCUGACUUCAGACCUCUACUCGUCUUUUAACAUGGUAAAAAUAACACCCAUGUGGAAAAAUGCAUAAACAAUAAAUGCAUACUCUAACGAGUUAUCACAAAGCCCACAACAGUGUAAUUACCACCCAUACCAAGGAAUAGAAAAUUUGUAGAAUUCCAACCCAGUUGCCUCCUUGCAAUCUCAAAUCCCUCCUCAUAGGGCUCCUUCUGUCUCAGAGGUAGCCUCUAACCUCUCUUUUA